UUCUGGUUCAGGAACAGCUUAGGGUGGGGCAUAUAGUGCCUUCCACUUCCCCCCUGGAACACUCCUAUUUUUGUCAUAAGAAAGGGGUCUGGAAAAUGGAGGCUUCUCCAAGACCUGCGGGCUAUUAAUAAUACCAUGCAGCCCAUGGGACCUUUACAGCCAGGACUACCCUUCCCCACGGCUAUCCCUAAAGAUUGGCAUCUUAUUAUUUUGGACCUAAAAGAUUGCUUCUUUUCUAUUCCCCUGGCCCCCCAGGAUUGUAAACGUUUUGCUUUCUC
rnacentral:ncRNA from 1 species